rnacentral:rRNA from 1 species
CGAGUGCUUGCACUCAAUUGGAAAGAGGAGUGGCGGACGGGUGAGUAACACGUGGGUAACCUACCCAUCAGAGGGGGAUAACACUUGGAAACAGGUGCUAAUACCGCAUAACAGUUUAUGCCGCAUGGCAUAAGAGUGAAAGGCGCUUUCGGGUGUCGCUGAUGGAUGGACCCGCGGUGCAUUAGCUAGUUGGUGAGGUAACGGCUCACCAAGGCCACGAUGCAUAGCCGACCUGAGAGGGUGAUCGGCCACACUGGGACUGAGACACGGCCCAGACUCCUACGGGAGGCAGCAGUAGGGAAUCUUCGGCAAUGGACGAAAGUCUGACCGAGCAACGCCGCGUGAGUGAAGAAGGUUUUCGGAUCGUAAAACUCUGUUGUUAGAGAAGAACAAGGACGUUAGUAACUGAACGUCCCCUGACGGUAUCUAACCAGAAAGCCACGGCUAACUACGUGCCAGCAGCCGCGGUAAUACGUAGGUGGCAAGCGUUGUCCGGAUUUAUUGGGCGUAAAGCGAGCGCAGGCGGUUUCUUAAGUCUGAUGUGAAAGCCCCCGGCUCAACCGGGGAGGGUCAUUGGAAACUGGGAGACUUGAGUGCAGAAGAGGAGAGUGGAAUUCCAUGGUUAACG